GUUGAUGUUCGUUUGUUAUCCUCUCUAUAGGUUUCGAGGUCAAUUGGUGAUGCCUAUCUUAAGAGGGCAGAGUUCAAUCAGGCACCCCUGCUGCCCAAGUUUAGAUUGCCCGAAUCCUUCUCUAAGCCGAUCCUCAGCGCGGAACCAUCAAUUUUCAUUCAUAGAUUGACUUCCAAAGAUCAGUUCCUCAUAUUUGGUUCAGAUGGUCUCUGGGAACAUCUUAGCAACCAGGAGGCUGUUGAUAUAGUCCACAGUCAACCUCGAAACGGUAUUGCCCAGAGAUUAAUCAAAGCUGCUCUCCGAGUAGCAGCUAAGAAAAGAGAGAUGAGGUAUUCAGACCUGAAAAAGAUCGAACGAGGUGUAAGGAGGCAUUUCCACGAUGAUAUCUCGGUUGUUGUUGUGUUUCUGGAUUGUUAUUCCAUGAAUCGAAGCUCCUCUCACGUUCCGAUACUUUCCAUUAGAGGAGGCGGUAUGCCUGCUUCUCCCAAACGAUAGAUCCCAAGACUUUAAACAGAGAAGAAAGAGAGCUCGUCUUUUGGAGGCCUCGAAUCUCUUUGCUUCUUUUCUCCAGUUUCUUUAGGGUUGUAAUCUACUUUUUAUGUGUUCUUAUAUUUCCUCGAUUAUCA
rnacentral:misc_RNA from 1 species